rnacentral:rRNA from 1 species
GAUGAACGCUGGCGGCGUGCCUAAUACAUGCAAGUCGAGCGAAUGGAUUAAGAGCUUGCUCUUAUGAAGUUAGCGGCGGACGGGUGAGUAACACGUGGGUAACCUGCCCAUAAGACUGGGAUAACUCCGGGAAACCGGGGCUAAUACCGGAUAACAUUUUGAACCGCAUGGUUCGAAAUUGAAAUGCGGCUUCGGCCGUCACUGAUGGAUGGACCCGCGUCGCAGUAGCUAGUUGGUGAGGUAACGGCUCACCAAGGCAACGAUGCGUAGCCGACCUGAGAGGGUGAUCGGCCACACUGGGACUGAGACACGGCCCAGACUCCUACGGGAGGCAGCAGUAGGGAAUCUUCCGCAAUGGACGAAAGUCUGACGGAGCAACGCCGCGUGAGUGAUGAAGGCUUUCGGGUCGUAAAACUCUGUUGUUAGGGAAGAACAAGUGCUAGUUGAAUAAGCUGGCACCUUGACGGUACCUAACCAGAAAGCCACGGCUAACUACGUGCCAGCCGCCGCCGUAA